rnacentral:rRNA from 1 species
UACGUAGGUGGCAAGCGUUGUCCGGAAUUAUUGGGCGUAAAGCGCGCGCAGGCGGCUUCUUAAGUCUGAUGUGAAAUCCCGGGGCUCACCCCGAGCGGCCAUUGGAAACUGGGGAGCUUGAGUGCAGAAGAGGAGAGUGGAAUUCCACGUGUAGCGGUGAAAUGCGUAGAGAUGUGGAGGAACACCAGUGGCGAAGGCGGCUCACUGGUCCGGUACUGACGCUGAGGUGCGAAAGCGUGGGGAGCAAACAGG